CAUGAGUUCAAGCCACAGAAUUCAGGCAGU
rnacentral:piRNA from 1 species